AUUGAACGCUGGCGGCAGGCCUAACACAUGCAAGUCGAACGAGUGGCGGACGGGUGUGUAAUGUCUGGGAAACUGCCCGAUGGAGGGGGAUAACUCCUGGAAACGGUAGCUAAUACCGCAUACCAUUGGAUGUUCCCAGAUGGGAUUAGCUAGUAGGUGGGGUAUAGGCUCACCUAGGCCCCGAUCCCUAGCGGGUCUGCGAGGAUGACCAGCCACACUGGAACUGAGACACGGUCCAGACUCCUACGGGAGGCAGCAGUGGGGAAUAUUGCACAAUGGGCGCAAGCCUGAUGCAGCCAUGCCGCGUGUAUGAAGAAGGCCUUCGGGUUGUAAAGUUCUGUCAGCGGGGAGGCGUUACCCGCAGAAGAAGCACCGGCUAACUCCGUGCCAGCAGCCGCGGUAAUUC
rnacentral:rRNA from 1 species